rnacentral:rRNA from 1 species
AAACAUCACCUCUAGCAUAACUAGUAUUAGAGGCACUGCCUGCCCAGUGACAAUCGUUAAACGGCCGCGGUAUCUUGACCGUGCAAAGGUAGCAUAAUCACUUGUUCUCUAAAUAAGGACUUGUAUGAAUGGCCACACGAGGGUUUUACUGUCUCUUACUCUUAAUCAGUGAAAUUGACCUCCCCGUGAAGAGGCGGGGAUAAUGCAAUAAGACGAGAAGACCCUAUGGAGCUUUAAUUAAUCAACUCAAAAAGCAUAAAAUAAUACCACCAAGGGAUAACAAAGCUUUAAAUGAGCUGACAAUUUCGGUUGGGGUGACCUCGGAGUAUAAAAAACCCUCCGAGUGAUUGAAACUUAGGCCUACCAGCCAAAGUAUAGUAUCACUUAUUGAUCCAAAAUUUUGAUCAACGGAACAAGUUACCCUAGGGAUAACAGCGCAAUCCUAUUCUAGAGUCCAUAUCGACAAUAGGGUUUACGACCUCGAUGUUGGAUCAGGACAUCCUAAUGGUGCAGCAGCUAUUAAGGGUUCGUUUGUUCAACGAUUAAAGUCCUACGUGAUCUG